rnacentral:rRNA from 1 species
GUGGGGAAUUUUGGACAAUGGGCGCAAGCCUGAUCCAGCAAUGCCGCGUGCAGGAAGAAGGCCUUCGGGUUGUAAACUGCUUUUGUACGGAACGAAACGGUCCUGGCUAAUAUCCGGGGCUAAUGACGGUACCGUAAGAAUAAGCACCGGCUAACUACGUGCCAGCAGCCGCGGUAAUACGUAGGGUGCGAGCGUUAAUCGGAAUUACUGGACGUAAAGCGUGCGCAGGCGGUGCUGUAAGACAGGCGUGAAAUCCCCGGGCUCAACCGGGGAAUUGCGCUUGUGACUGCAGGGCUGGAGUGCGGCAGAGGGGGAUGGAAUUCCGCGUGUAGCAGUGAAAUGCGUAGAUAUGCGGAGGAACACCGAUGGCGAAGGCAAUCCCCUGGGCCUGCACUGACGCUCAUGCACGAAAGCGUGGGGAGCAAACAGGAUUAGAUACCCGGGUAGUCC